UACGUAGGGUGCGAGCGUUAAUCGGAAUUACUGGGCGUAAAGCGUGCGCAGGCGGUUCGUUGUGUCGGUGGUGAAAUCCCCGGGCUUAACCUGGGAAUGGCCAUGGAAACUGGCGAACUGGAGUGCGGCAGAGGGGGGUGGAAUUCCGCGUGUAGCAGUGAAAUGCGUAGAGAUGUGGAGGAACACCGAUGGCGAAGGCAGCCCCCUGGGCUAACACUGACGCUCAGGCACGAAAGCGUGGGGAGCAAACAGG
rnacentral:rRNA from 1 species